rnacentral:rRNA from 1 species
AAACUGGAGAGUUUGAUCCUGGCUCAGAACUAACGCUAGCGGCGUGCCUAACACAUGCAAGUCGUACGAGAAAGUCGGCUUCGGUCGGCGAGUAAAGUGGCGCACGGGUGAGUAACGCGUGGAUAAUCUACCCUUGAGUUGGGAAUAACGUGCCGAAAGGUGCGCUAAUACCGAAUAAUACUGAGUGACUAAUGUUGCUUAGUCAAAGAAGGCCUCUGCUUGCAAGCUUUCGCUGAAGGAUGAGUCCGCGUACCAUUAGCUAGUUGGUAGGGUAAUGGCCUACCAAGGCAACGAUGGUUAGCUGGUCUGAGAGGAUGAUCAGCCACACUGGAACUGAGACACGGUCCAGACUCCUACGGGAGGCAGCAGUGAGGAAUAUUGCGCAAUGGGGGCAACCCUGACGCAGCAACGCCGCG